CUCUGGUGUUCGGGUUGUGUCGCCAGACGCAUUGCCCGGUAGCUAAGUUCGGAAUUGAUAAGCGCUGAAAGCAUCUAAGCGCGAAGCGAGCCCUGAGAUGAGUCUUCCCUGAUACUUUAAGUAUCCUAAAGGGUUGUUCGAGACUAGAACGUUGAUAGGCAGGGUGUGUAAGCGUUGUGAGGCGUUGAGCUAACCUGUACUAAUUGCCCGUGAGGCUUAACCAU
rnacentral:rRNA from 1 species